rnacentral:other from 1 species
GAUUCCCUGCCUGGCCCGUGAUGUGUCGCGUUCAUUGAGCCAACACUGACGACCUGGGAUUCCGGAGUUCCGUCCCCUAGGCUAGCCCGAAGGGCCGGACAGGAGACCCGACCUGAAGCAAUGGUUCAAUUGCUUCCGGCCACACGACCCGGCGGGGAAUCU